CCUACGGGAGGCAGCAGUGGGGAAUAUUGGGCAAUGGGCGCAAGCCUGACCCAGCAACGCCGCGUGAAGGAAGAAGGCUUUCGGGUUGUAAACUUCUUUUCUGAGGGACGAAGAAAGUGACGGUACCUCAGUAAUGAGCCACGGCUAACUACGUGCCAGCAGCCGCUGGAAUACGGAGGUGGCGAGCGUUAGCCGGAUUUAUUGGGUGUAAGGGGAGUGUAGGUGGGAAAGCAAGUCAGAUGUGAAAGUUUGGGGCUCAACCCUAAGAUUGCAUUUGAAACUGGUAGUCUUGAGUACAGGUGAGGUAGGCGGAAUGCGGGGUGUAGCGGUGAAAUGCUUAGAUAUCACGAAGAAUACCGAUGGCGAAGGCAGCCUACUAAACUGACACUGACAUUGAUGCUCGAAAGUGUGGGUAUAAAACAGGAUUAGAUACCCGAGUAGUC
rnacentral:rRNA from 1 species